rnacentral:snRNA from 1 species
AGAGAAUUGCUUGAACCCGGGAGUUGGAGGUUGCAGUGAGCUAAGAUUGCGCCACUGCACUCCAGCCUGGGCAACAAGA